GGGCGCAAGUGGAGAAGCAUGAAUUGCGUCCUUGCCAAGUUCAGUUUUCAUCUACAACAAUAGAAAAUUCUCGGCUUCGACACUCAAGCUGCUUUGCUGAUGAGGUGCAUUCGUUUGCUGGACAAAAAGCAAGGGGAAGUCUUGAGGAUCGUGUGAAAAUGAUCUGGAGGUCCUAGUGAAGACGCCACUUGCUUGGUGUCUUUUAUGGCCUUCUCUUGUCAUCUGGGACUGUAAUAAAAAUUAUAACGUGGCGAGAGGAUUCUGCUUCCUAGGUUAUAUAUUCUUUGUUUUCUAGCUUCCCAUGUGGGAUAUUGUCGCUUUAGAUGUUUUGAACUGGAUAUAGUUGUGGUUUGGGCUCUACGCCUGCUUUUAAUAAAAGUGGGACAGGGAGAAACCC
rnacentral:lncRNA from 1 species